UACAGAGGUGGCAAGCGUUGUUCGGAAUUACUGGGCGUAAAGGGCUCGUAGGCGGCCAACUAAGUCCGACGUGAAAUCCCCAAGCUUAACUUGGGAACUGCGUCGGAUACUGGAUGGCUUGAAUUCGGGAGAGGGAUGCAGAAUUCCAGGUGUAGCGGUGAAAUGCGUAGAUAUCUGGAGGAAUACCGGUGGCGAAGGCGGCAUCCUGGACCGACAUUGACGCUGAUGAGCGAAAGCUAGGGGAGCAAACGAG
rnacentral:rRNA from 1 species